CUACGUAGGUGGCGAGCGUUAUCCGGAAUUACUGGGUGUAAAGGGUGUGUAGGCGGGGAGGCAAGUCGGAUGUGAAAAUUAAGGGCUCAACCCCUAAAGUGGGCCCGAAACUGUUUUUCUUGAGGAUCGGAGAGGUGAUGAGCAUUCCCGGUGUAGCGGUGAAAUGUGCAGAGAGAGGGAGGAAUACAGGUGGCGAAGGCGAAUUACUGGACGAUAACUGACGCUGAGACACGAAAGCGUGGGGAGCAAACAGGAUUAGAGACCCUGGUAGUCCACGCCCUAAACGAUGAAUGCUAGGUGUAGGGGAGUCAUCUGCUGUGCCGCAGCUAACGAAAUAAGCAGUCCACCUGGGGAGUACGGCCGCAAGGUUGAAACUCAAAGGAAUUGACGGG
rnacentral:rRNA from 1 species